rnacentral:rRNA from 1 species
UACAGAGGGUGCAAGCGUUAAUCGGAGUUAUUGGGCGUAAAGGGCGCGUAGGCGGUUUAGUAAGUGAGAAGUGAAAUCCCCGGGCUUAACCUGGGAAUGGCUUUUUAGACUACGAGACUGGAGUGCAGUAGAGGGUGGUGGAAUUUCCGGUGUAGCGGUGAAAUGCGUAGAGAUCGGAAGGAACAUCAGUGGCGAAGGCGACCACCUGGACUGAGACUGACGCUGAGGCGCGAGAGCGUGGGGAGCAAACAGG